rnacentral:rRNA from 1 species
GGUUAAGUGACUAAGCGUAUACGGUGGAUGCCUUGGCAGUUGGAGGCGAUGAAGGACGUAUUAACUUGCGAUAAGCCUAGUCAAGCUAGUAAAAAGCGCUUGAGGCUAGGAUUUCCGAAUGGGGAAACCCACCACUUAGUGGUAUCACUUACUGAAUACAUAGGUAAGUGAGGCGAACCGGGAGAACUGAAACAUCUAAGUACCCCGAGGAAAAGAAAUCAACCGAGAUUCCGAAAGUAGCGGCGAGCGAAAUCGGAUUAGCCCUUAAGCUGUAAUGUAGUUAGUGGAACAUUCUGGAAAGUUUGACGAUACAGGGUGAUAGUCCCGUACACGAAAACUUAUUUACAGUGAAAUCGAGUAGGUCGGAGCACGUGAAACUUUGACUGAAUAUGGGGGGACCAUCCUCCAAGGCUAAAUACUCCCAACUGACCGAUAGUGAACCAGUACCGUGAGGGAAAGGCGAAAAGAACCCCUGUGAGGGGAGUGAAAUAGAACCUGAAACCGUAUACGUACAAGCAGUAGGAGCAGAUUCGUUCUGUGACUGCGUACCUUUUGUAUAAUGGGUCAGCGACUUAUAUUCAGUAGCGAGGUUAACCAUUUAGGGGAGCCGUAGUGAAAGCGAGCGUUAACUGCGCGUUUAGUUGCUGGGUAUAGACCCGAAACCCGGUGAUCUAGCCAUGGGCAGGUUGAAGGUCAGGUAACACUGACUGGAGGACCGAACCGACUAUCGUUGAAAAGCUAGCGGAUGACCUGUGGCUAGGAGUGAAAGGCUAAUCAAACCGGGAGAUAGCUGGUUCUCCCCGAAAUCUAUUUAGGUAGAGCCUCGGACGAAUACUAUUGGGGGUAGAGCACUGUUAAGGCUAGGGGGUCAUCCCGACUUACCAACCCUUUGCAAACUCCGAAUACCAAUAAGUAAUAUCCGGGAGACACACGGCGGGUGCUAACGUCCGUCGUGGAGAGGGAAACAACCCAGACCGCCAGCUAAGGUCCCAAAGUGUAUGUUAAGUGGGAAACGAUGUGGAAAGGCCCAGACAGCCAGGAGGUUGGCUUAGAAGCAGCCAUCCUUUAAAGAAAGCGUAAUAGCUCACUGGUCGAGUCGGUCUGCGCGGAAGAUGUAACGGGGCUAAACAUACCACCGAAGCUGCGGCUGCGAAUUUAUUCGCGGGGUAGGGGAGCGUUCUGUAAGCUGUUGAAGGUGUACCGGGAGGUAUGCUGGAGGUAUCAGAAGUGCGAAUGCUGACAUGAGUAACGAUAAAGCGGGUGAAAAACCCGCUCGCCGGAAGACCAAGGGUUCCUAUCCCAUGCUAAUCAGGGUAGGGUGAGUCGACCCCUAAGGCGAGGCCGAAAGGCGUAGUCGAUGGGAAACGGGUUAAUAUUCCCGUACUUGGAAUAAUUGCGAUGGGGGGACGGAGCAGGCUAAACAAGCAUGGCGUUGGUUGUCCAUGUGAAAGUAUGUAGGCUGGAAACUUAGGCAAAUCCGGGUUUCUAAGGCUGAGAUACGAGACGACACUCUACGGAGUGGAAGUUGUUGAUGCCAUACUUCCAGGAAAAGCCUCUAAGCUUCAGAUUAUUUCGAAUCGUACCCCAAACCGACACAGGUGGUCAGGUAGAGAAUACUAAGGCGCUUGAGAGAACUCGGGUGAAGGAACUAGGCAAAAUUGUACCGUAACUUCGGGAGAAGGUACGCUCUUAUCUGUGAUGAGACUUGCUCUCUAAGCGGA